GUUCAAUCAGUUGCUAAGUCUUGCAUUCUAUUCAUAUCUUCACAUUUAACUGUUAUUCCAUCUCCAUUACUGAUGAGGUCAUAUUGAGGGUGUCAUAUUGACUUGAUGGGUAUGAGGUACUGGCUAAGAAAUCUAUGAACCAGAAGGCUAUGAAGUGAACUAUGAUGAAUGAUGAAAGUCAAAAGAUAUAAUGUAGGUGCUGCCAGAUUUCUUGAAGAUGAAGAUGAAGCCUGUCCAACCACUUUCAUAUACAGGCAUACUUCAGAGAUAUUGACGGUUCAGUUUCAGAUACCUGAAAAUGGCAAACAUUGCAGUAAAGAGCUGAUUUCUGUGGAACAGCCAUUUUUGAAGAAGGCUGAAUGGGGGAAGUGGUUCUGAAAUCUCUUUUUCCAUAACUUCCAGCAGCAGCUAGUAGGUACUCAAUCAACAUUUGAAUAAAUAAACUUUAAAUAAAUAUUGAACCUUAGUU
rnacentral:lncRNA from 1 species